CCGCCCGUCACAUCACGAAAGUGGGUUGUACUAGAAGUCGCUGCGCUAACCGCAAGGAGGCAAGCGCCCAAGGUAUGACUCAUGAUUGGGGUG
rnacentral:rRNA from 1 species